GGACAGAGGUCAUCACCCUAACUUGGUAGAUGAGAAAACUGAGGCACAGAGAAGCCGGAUGAGAUUGCAAAGUCGCAGCAACUGAAACAACUAAAUAUCGGUGUGAAAACUCGAAUGAAGAGGCCCACGACGCUGAAGACAAGGACGAAAAAGAGAGAGUUUAACAAAAAACAAGAAGGACCCGAAAACGCUCUGGACCCCACAGACAGCACACCGAGAAAAUCCAGUUGGGAGGAAUAGAAAGAAGAUGGAGAAAGAAGAACGAACCUGCUCUUCACCCUUUAGGUUUUUCGUUUUUUAGAAGCCCAAGGGAAUUUUAUCAACA
rnacentral:lncRNA from 1 species